UAACCAAUAAUCAGAACAAGUACAAAAUAAAUAUAAAUAUCCUAAACAAAAAUUGACAUAAAGGUUUUAGAUUAGUCUCACUCUCAAGUGACAUAGCACCACAUCUACAUUCUAGCAUUAAGAACAAGGUGAUAUCAAACUCUCAACGCAUACGUAACGCAUGAUUUUCGACUCACUAAACUUAAAAGUGUCAUUUCUAGAAUUGUGAAAAACCAACUUCUGUGUCCGUUCCUUUUCAUAAAUACAAUCCAACAACAAACGGCCAUCCGUUUGUUGAGGAUGAAGGAAAAUCUCGCAUGAAAGAAACACUAUACAACUCUUUAAACACUAUUGGUAAAGUAUUAGCGACUCAAAAGGCCCAACAAGUAUUUAUUUUUUUAAAAAGGAAAAAGGCCUGACUAGUUCAGAUAUAAAUAAUAUGCUUUUAUACAACUGGAAUAAACAACAAAAAAUUUAUCAUCAUGCGAGUUUUGCAGAGACAUGAUUGAUACCCGCGUACCUUUUUCCAUAGCAAGAAGAUAGUGAUGUUGCACCUUUAUUCUGCUAUGAAGCAUUUUGGUGCGUUGAGAAAAAUCGGAGUUAAAGUAAGAAGAUAGUGAUGAUUCAAAUUCUGCAGCAGAUGUUAUUUUCAAGCUACCACAGCAGCUCUCAGGGGAUGAAGCGGCGCUGUUUGCUUGUAUUUUGCAGAGUAUUUGGAAGCAAUGCAACAAUACACUUUGAAACAAUACAAUUGAGGCGCAAAAUUCAGUGUUAAUGCAGCCAAAAGUGGUGCUGCAGGACUGGAAAGCUAGCAGUCCACGAAAUCACAAACAGGGCAGAAUUGGUGCAGGCUGAUACAAAACUGUCAUUUGUAAACAAGGCAUUGGCAUUUAUAUUAGAGAAGAAAGCAAUCCACACUACACAUAGUAUAAUGUGUUAGUACAGCUUACCCUUACGGGAAAUUUUAGUACACCUAAUGAUAUAUGAAAACAUAAACCAUAUAUAAUAUGCAAAUAAUUCCAACAGCAACAUGGUGGGUACGUUAUUAUGGUCUGCAACAGCCAACAUCAGAAUUGUUUGGACACAAUACGAAAAAUCCAUUUAUCCAAAAAUAACAAACACUUUUAACUGGUUGUUAGAAUGAAAAAUAAUGAUUAACAUUUAGUUUAUCGAGUGCUCUUAUUACCGUUCAACAUUUGCACAAUCUUUCUUAAUAGACAGGCAGCUCAUUAUAGCAAUACCCGCAUAUCAAAAUGGUAUGUUCUUCUGUUGGUGCUUUCACAAUGACCAGAAAAAAUGAUAAAAACAUAUUAUUUUCACAAUGACCAGGGCAUGAUAAAAACAUGAUUUUGGCAUAACAUCUAAGUUGAUAUUAGAAAAUCUAACCUCAAACCAAGUAAAUCAAUGCAUGACUUUGAAGUAUAUAUAAUGAAAUGCAUGAGAGAACAAAACCUUCUAACAAACAAAUAAAUAAAAAUAACUACAAUUUAUCAAGUUGCAUAUUGAAAUGAACCUUAACAAUAAUAUCCAAAACAGAAAUUGAAAUAUAGGUUUUAGUUUAAUCUCACUCUCAAGUGACAUAGUACCACAUCUACAUUCUAGCAUUAAGAACAAGGCGAUAUCAAACUCUCAACGCAUACGUCAUGCAUGAUUUUCGGCUCACUAAACUUAGUAGUACCAUUUCUAGAAUUGUAAAAAACCAACUUCUUUGUACAUUCCUCUGUAGAAAUAGAAUCCAACAACACACGGCCAUCCUCAAAAAUAUGUAGUACUUCGAUAGUGGCAUAAGAUGAAAGAUGAUCUCGCAUGUAAGAAACACUAUACAAUUUAGUCCAAGAGUCUUUAUUUCCAUGUUCCUUCAUAAUCCAAACAUCAUGACCAAAAACCAGGCACAAACAAUCCCUCAACACACCCAGGUGCCAACGCAAAGUAGAUACAUCUACCUCCUUAGGCAGCAAAACUUCUUUAUAAGACUCGUUUCCCAAAUCUAGAGAAACAAUCUGAAUUUCUUUAUGAUAUUCAUUAUAGACCAACCAAUUGAUCGUGCCACUCACAAAUUUUCCCAAAAGUUGCAAAGGAACACAGCCAAAAGGAAAUUUUUGAAUGGUUUUCCAAGAAUUGGUGCCCAAAGUAUGAACCUUCACUUCAUGGUUGUCAACAAACUUAGCACUCGUAUCACGUACUCGUAAACCAACCACCACAUUGUAUGCAUUAGUAAUAACAUCAUAGCCGAAGCCAUAGAUUAAAUCCUGACGAAAAUGAUUUUGUUGCUUUUGAAGAGAGGGCAAUUCCUUAAAUUUUCUAAUGGAAGGGUUCCACAAUCGAAGAAUCAUGUAGUCUCCAAAAUCACUUAAAAGACAUAGGAUGCCAUUGAAUGAGCCAACAUGGUAAACAGAAACGUCGGAAGGAAACUCUACCUGCACGAUGGGGUUGGUGGUUACAUCAUCAAAAACGGAGUCGAGUGGGUAAGACUUUAGAACAUAAUUGCUUGAGUUGAUUGAGGUGUGGACGAGGUGCGUAUUUGAGAGACGGAGGUGUUUCAUGGCGAACUUGGAAUCGGAGAUUAGAGAAUUCCAUGACUUGCAGACAGAUCGGAGUUGAAGGAGGAGCUUCACUGGAAGUCUAGUUAGAAUUUCUGAAAUGAGAUCCAAAGGAAGAGUGGGAAGUUGUGGUGGCGCGUGAAGCGACAACGAUGAUGUUAGGGCUUUGGCUAAUGUUUCAUCAGUCAAUGAAGGAGAAGAAACGGCGUCGCGUUGGUCCAUGUUAUUAGCACCGAUUUGGUGAGGAAUAGAUAUGCAGAAACGAUUAGGGUUUAGUGGUUCUGUCGUCUUCUCUGCAAGAAACUAAGAACGAUGAGGUGAGGUGGCAGCGGUGGGUCCUCUUUUGUUGGUAAAUGGGCCUGCUUUACCAUCAGAACCAGACCAAUAUGAGAAUUUUUUUAACUAAUUCUCAGUUAUUGCUUGCUGUAUCAAAUUCUGAAGGGGUGGGAAGAGGAUUUCGUAUGGGAGGAUUUGGAUUUAUCGGAGUAUAGUGAUACUCUCUUGUUACACUCUUUUACUCUCAAAUUAUAUGCUAGCUAAUAUAUAGAUUAUUAACUUGUCAAAAUUGUGUAUAAGUAAACUUUUUUUUUAUACUUCAAACCUAGUCACCAAAUAAAUAUAUUUUAGAUGUGAUAUUAUAGUGUGUUUUAGGUUAAAAUAAAAAAAAAAAAAAAAAAACAUUCGGCUUAAAAUAUUACAUAUAUAAACGGAAUACAUUUUUUGGUGUCAAUUUUUCCUUUCUAGGUUAAAAUUGAUUUGCGCUUCUUCACUUACUGAAAUGUCAUUUAUAAACUAAUAGUUGUUUAUAGAAUAGCUAAAUGAAAACUUUUAAGAGAUUAAAUUACAUAAUUAAUAUGAUAAAUUAUUGGAAGAACCAUGGUUAUUACCAAUAAAAAGGAUAUUUUUAGAAAGGAAAAAAGUUCAAACUAGCUCCGAUGUUCUACUUAACCGAGUUAAAAUCCUAUGCCGCCAAGAAAUGUAAAAAAAAUUUGCACGCAACGUACAAGAUAAUGAAGGGUGGUGGCUCAACAAACAAUCAAAAUGAAAACUCGUAUCAUGCCAUGAACUUGUGUGCCCUCAACUUGCAAUUUUGUUACACAGAUGUAAAAACCAACACAUUUCCUUUUUUCUUUGGGGGUGGGGCCAUGGUAAUAUGGUCAUUUCCCAAGAACUUUUUUACUCCCUAUACUCUUCAAACCCAAACAAUACUAAGCUUUAAUAACCAAUGCCUAAGCAGCAAAGAGAAGAAGACAAAAAUCUGUGCCUACAGAGUUGGAAAAGUGCGUCGAAGCUGUCCAAAACAAGACAUCUAGAAACGAGCACAAGGCAACAUUCACUGAAAGCAGUUCGUCCACCCCUUCUGGUAUGUCUAUCAUAAGCAGUAGAGAAUUUGUCCACCAAAUCAUUCAUUGCACUACAGGAAGACAGGUAUAUGAAAAAAGAGCAUGUAUUAAUAACAACACAUGGAUACAAUACAAAGUUAAAAUUCUGAACUGAAAUUGCAUUCAAGUUCCUUAGUUUUGAAAAUAUAUUCACAUAUCUCACGGAAAAUGUUACGCAACACACCUAUACUACCAUCAACAUAUUUCUACUAAUUUUUUCACAAAAAUUAUAUUCAUGAGAAAAAGAUAAAGGAUAUGGAAAUAAGGAUGUUGUGAUGCAUCCAUUCAAUGACCUAUAUACAGUAUGCGUACAAUGAGAUGACUGGAAAACUGCAAUGUUAAGAGGGGUAUAAAAAAGGUCACAGGGAGAAGACCAAUAAGGAUGUUAAGACCUCAAAUGAGAAUUGGACCCAAAUAGACAAUUGGCUAAUCAGUUGCGCAAGCCCAAUAGAUGGAGAGUGAUGUUCUCAAAACAUAGGAAAGAAGAGGGAAAUAAUAAGGCGUGGCAGGGGUGAGAGUGAGCAUAGGAGAGGGAAGGGUAUUUAGAAUCUUUUUUCUACUAGAAACCAUUUGGUUUGGCUUUAGAGAGUCAUCUCUUAUCUAUGUGGAGCUUUGCUCUGGGCAGUAGGAGUACCGUUCAACGGUAAUUUUCCUUUUUCGUAAAUGAUACAUUCCAUUUAUUAAGUGUUGCUGUGUUAUUUUCUCCGUUAGGUUCUGGGUCCCUGACAGGCUAUAUUGUAAAUGGGGCAUCGUGAAUCUACCAUGAAAGAUAGAGCAUAACGACGUAAUAGAAUCCAUCCAUUAAGUUAUACAUACGAAUAGACUCUACUCAAAUGACUCUCCCUUGGCAAGUACCUCUGACUGAAGGUUAUGCUUUUCCUAGGGAAUGCUGCUGUAUAGGGAAUGAAAGAAAAACUGUGCUAUGGAUGUGGUUAUUAUGGGGUACCAAAGUCCUACGAUGAGUAGUAUGUUAAUGUGAUGCUCAGUGUAGUAUUUAAGUGGUUUGGUUUUUUCCCCACUGAUAACUAGCUUUUAAAGGAAGAUUAUUUCCCAAGCGCUCAAAUGCAUGUCAAAAUGCAACCUUGUAUUUAUUUUUCUACCAAUUUGAUUUGCUGCUUAAUGAAAUUUAAAAUAAAAAGUAGUUAUGCUAAAAUAACUGCCUUUUGCUAGGAAAAAAAACAAAUACAAUUACAAAACGCAAAAGAAAACAAACAAAGGAAACAGUUACUAGUAUGUCAUACCUUGAGCAGUUGGUCAGCAUGGCAAGGUAACUGAUCAAUAAGGUGUCAUUGUAUUCCUGCAAGGGAAAGAAGAUAUUGUAAGCUAAAAAAAAUUAUACGAGCCUUUAUGCUAUAUUUUACUGUGAUAUUAAGCCCACAAUCCAGCACAGAUACCAUAGUGAAGCAACAUGAAUCUUCACAGAAAAACAUUAUCGUAAUAGCAAUAAUCUCCAACGUUUCAUAGUGGGAAUAGUCCUUAUAUUUGUAGUGGUGUUAUAGAGACCACUCAAGCUAAGAAAAUCAGAGAGUAUUAUUAAUUACUGAAAAUAGGAACUAAUACAGAAACAUAUCACAACAAUCUCAGACCCAAGCUCAGAGAGAAGAUGCUUAACGCAUUAUCUGUGUGGCCGAAAACUACAAAGUACCAAUACGAAUGACUGAUUGCCCCCUCAUUGGCUCAGUCCACUCUCCUCAUACCAAUCUCCUCAUAUCAAUCCCUGUACACAUUUCAUUUUCUAAAUUCUAACAAGCAUUAAUAUCCAACAUAGUUCAUGUCAUGAUAUAUAUGAUUAUGCACACAAAAACUCAAAUAAACCAAGCACGGUAAGCGUGCAGAAAAAAAAAAUUAAGCCUAUCAAUGCUCCCUCCCCGCUACUUGCAAAGGUUAUCUUCCCCAAACCAAAAAAAGAAAGGUUGUAGCUUAUAGUGAAAUUUUCAAAAUCAAACACUCACCAUCAAGAAAUCAUCUUGAAAUUUCCCAGAUUCAAAAGCAGGCAAUCUUCUCAGGAGACUCGACACUUGCCUUAAUAGUGAAUUCUCACAAGGAACGUCACCUAUUUUUAAAACAAUAAGGUUUAAAUGGUUUAACUUCAGGGAGAUACAAUAUAGGUUGGCUAUGUAUAAUAUAUGGUUGAAGCAGGAAACGAAAAUAUUAUUCACAGAAUCAAUGGGCAUUAUUAGUCUAUUACUCUGUUGAAAAUAGGGUUGAAACUGAUUUUUGAAAUAUAAUUUAAGUAUUAAAAGUCCUCCCUGCAAUAACAGAAAACUAGUUUAAACUGUCACUAAUGUAUUUAUUCUCGCUUUUAUUUCUCCAACUCUUCAAACACUAUUGGUAAAGUAUUAGCAACUCAAAAGGCCCAACAAGUAUUUAUUUUUUAAAAAGGAAAAACGCCUGACUAGUUCAGAUAUAAAUAAUAUGCUUUUAUACAACUGGAAUAAACAACAAAAAAUUUAUCAUCAUGCGAGUUUUACAGAGACAUGAUUGAUACCCGCGUACCUUUUUCCAUAGCAAGAAGAUAGUGAUGUUGCACCUUUAUUCUGCUAUGAAGCAUUUUGGCGCGUUGAGAAAAAUCGAGAGUUAAGGUAACAAGAUAGUGAUGAUUCAAAUUCUGCAGCAGAUGUUAUUUUCAAGGUACCACAGCAGCUCUCAGGGGAUGAAGCGGCGCUGUUUGCUUGUAUUUUGCAGAGUAUUUGGAAGCAAUGCAACAUUCAGUGUUUAUGCAGAGUAUUUGGAAGCAAUGCAACAAUACACUUUGAAACAAUACAAUUGAGGCGCAAAAUUCAGUGUUUAUGCAGCCAAAAGUGGUGCUGCAGGACUGGAAAGCUAGCAGUCCACGAAAUCACAAACAGGGCAGAAUUGGUGCAGGCUGAUACAAAACUGUCAUUUGUAAAGAAGGCAUUGGCAUUUAUAUUAGAGAAGAAAGCAAUCCACACUACACAUAGUAUAAUGUGUUAGUACAGCUUACCCUUACGGGAAAUUUUAGUACACCUAUUGAUAUAUGAAAACACAAACCAUAUAUAAUAUGCAAAUAAUUCCAACAGCAGCAUGGUGGGUACGUUAUUAUGGUCUGCAACAGCCAACAUCAGAAUUGUUUGGCAACAAUACGAAAAAUCCAUUUAUCCAACAAUAACCAACACUUUUAACUGGUUGUUAGAAUGAAAAAUAAUGAUUAACAUUUAGUUUAUCAUAUUUUAUCGAGUGCUCUUAUUACCGUAUCAACAUUUGCACAAUCUUUCUUAAUAGACAGGCAGCUCAUUAUAGCAAUACCCGCAUAUCAAAAUGGUAUGUUCUUCUGUUGGUGCUUUCCUUUACUAUUUCAUACUCACUUUUGUUGCAGAAUAUGAUGCUCCGCCACACCGCUUACUCCGGACUCAAUCCAGAUUACUCAUUCCUGACAUAUCAUCCACUCUCCUAACUACUUUUGAUUUACCGAUGAGUUUAGUUUUAUGAAGGUAGUUUGGCCUGCCACAAUCAAAGGAUAUAGCUACCAUCCUUUUACAACGUUCGAUUAUCCUAUAUUGACCCAUCACAUUUGACGUGUCCAAGGUCACAAUAACUGUUGAAAUAGAUAAAUAUUUCUAGAAUAUUCUAGUUUAAAAAAUGACAAUGUCUAUUAGAAAAACUAGAAUAGCUUAAAGUUGCCACAUGUUUAUAUAUUGUUCUAUUGAUGACUAGGUUAAGUUGUAGCCUAGAAACAUCUAUUAGUGAAACAAUUUCAGUUGCAACCAUCAUAUUCAGUCUAAACAGCAUCAUGUUAUGUUAAUAAUACGAGAACACACAUCAAGUACAUCCCAAAAAUGGCUUCGAAGUCAAAGUCAUGAACUAAUUCCUCAUCCUUCUCUUUCAUUUUAAUUCAAUGUUCAUAUUUCGGACAGAAUGUGGACUUGAACUUGGUCACCACAUUAUUUAGCAGAAGUUUUCCCUUCCAUUAAGGAUAACAGAAAAAGUAAGAAAAAAUAGUAUGGGGAUAAGUCAUGUUGAGAAGAACUAAAUAGUAAUAACAUGAUUUUGGCAUACCAUCUAAGUUGAUAUUAGAAAAUCUAACCUCAAACCAAGUAAACCAACGCAAGAUUUUGACUUAUAUAAAAUGAAAGGCAUGAGAGAACAAAACCUUCUAACAAAAAUAAAUAAAGAUAACUACUGCAUAUUCAAAUGAACCUUAACAAUAAUCCAUCAAGUAACCAAUAAUCAGAACAACUACAAAAUAAAUAAAAAUAUCCUAAACAGAAAUUGACAUAAAGGUUUUAGAUUAGUCUCACACUCAAGUUACAUAGCACCACAUUUACAUUCUAGCAUUAAGAACAAGGUGAUAUCAAACUCUCAACGCAUACGUCACGCAUGAUUUUCGACUCACUAAACUUAAAAGUGCCAUUUCUAGAAUUGUGAAAAACCAACUUCCGUGUCCUUUCCCCUUCAUAAAUACAAUCCAACAACAAACAGCCAUCCUAAAAAAUAUGUAGUACUUCAAUAGUGGCAAAAGAUGAAGGAAAAUCUCGCAUGAAAGAAACACUAUACAACUUAGCCCACGAGUCAUUAUUUCCAUGUUCCUUCAUAAUCCAAACAUCAUGACCAAACACCAGGCAAAAACAAUCCCUAAACACACCCAAGUACCAACGCAAACGCAAAGUAGAUGAAUCAACAUCCUUCGGCAGCAAAACUUCCUUACAAGACUCGAUUCCCAAAUCAAGAGAAACAAUACAAUCUUGAAAUUUGUUAUCA
rnacentral:lncRNA from 1 species